AUUGAACGCUGGCGGCAGGCCUAACACAUGCAAGUAGAACGAGUGGCGGACGGGUGAGUCAUGUCUGGGAAACUGCCUGAUGGGGGGGGAUAACUACUGGAAACGGUAGCUAAUACCGCAUACCAUCGGAUGUAACCAGAUGGGAUUAGCUAGUAGGUGGGGUAACGGCUCACCUAGGCGACGAUCACUAGCUGGUCUGAGAGGAUGACCCGCCCAACUGGAACUGAGCCACGGUCCAGACUCCUCAGGUGGGCAGGAGUGGGGAAUAUUGCACAAUGGGCGCAGGCCUGAUGCAGCCAUGCCGCGUGUAUGAAGAAGGCCUUCGGGUUGUAAAGUACUUUCAGCGGGGAGGCGUUACCCGCAGAAGAAGCACCGGCUAACUCCGUGCCAGCAGCCGCGGUAAUAC
rnacentral:rRNA from 1 species